rnacentral:hammerhead_ribozyme from 1 species
UUCAGCUGACGAGUCCCAAAUAGGAUGAAACGCGCGUCAAACUACAA